rnacentral:tRNA from 1 species
GGCGGUAUAGCUCAGUUGGCUAGAGCAUGCGGUUCAUACCCGCAGUGUCGUUGGUUCGAAUCCGACUACCGCUA